UGCCAGACUCCUACGGGAGGCAGCAGUGGGGAAUUUUGCGCGAUGGGGGAAACCCUGACGCAGCAACGCCGCGUGCGGGAUGACGGCCUUCGGGUUGUAAACCGCUUUCAGUAGGGAAGAACAUCGACGGUACCUACAGAAGAAGCCCCGGCUAACUACGUGCCAGCAGCCGCGGUAAUACGUAGGGGGCAAGCGUUAUCCGGAUUCAUUGGGCGUAAAGCGCGCGUAGGCGGUUGCCUAAGCGGGACCUCUAAUCUUAGGGCUCAACCUUAAGCCGGGUCCCGAACUGGGUGACUUGAGGGCGGUAGAGGAAAGUGGAAUUCCCGGUGUAGCGGUGGAAUGCGCAGAUAUCGGGAAGAACACCGAGGGCGAAGGCAGCUUUCUGGGCCGCCACUGACGCUGAGGCGCGAAAGCUAGGGGAGCAAACAGGAUUAGAUACCCCCGUAC
rnacentral:rRNA from 1 species